ACUAAUUAUUUAUCAGUUCAGUUCAAGUUUCAUUUUUAUUUUUUGCAUUGGUUCAUGUACCUUCAUGAGUUUACUGCGGAUCUGAAAGAGUUCUAACCUAAAAAAUUGUACAAGGCUGCAUUAAUCUAGGACCUGGCGAGGAUUGGUUCAGAGAGCAAGCAUCGUUCUGCAGUAUCUUAAGGACGCUGGUUGGGCUGAGGGUGGUCGACUUAUAGGUUGCACCCAGCCAAGACGAUUGGCUGUGCAGAUAUCCAUGAAGCCAGCCUCAUGACACUUGACGAAACACGUGCGUACGUCAAUGGUGUUGUUCAAGCUAGGCACAAUGGAGGCUAGAAGUAUCUGUGUACACAAGUGCACAAUUUGUCUUAGAUAUAAAAAUGUAUGAACGCUUUGCAUGCAACAUUUUGUUGCCAAUUGUCACAUUAUGAAGUGUUCGCUUAUGUCUUGGAGGUUUAAUAAUAUGUGAUAUUCAAUAAAAAAAUCUA